AGAAAGACUCAAGUAGUAUGGAACAAGACUUGUUCACCACCAAGAUAAGAGCACUGGUGGGCUUGAUUCUUUUCAUUACUUGGUAUCUUCAGAAGACUGAAGGGUUUCCUCGUUUGAUCUCUAAAACUGAGCAUAAACCUGGCGAUAAUGUCACCUUCUCUUGUCAAUCGUCGAAGGACCACAGGUUCACUCAGUGGUAUAAACAGUCUCCUGGAAUGAUGGUCCAAACAAUGGCUUCAGCAGUUUAUGAUAGAGUCAAUCCGACUGAGCCUUUUGAUAACACACGUUUUCAUUUUCUCAGAGAAAAUGAUAAGUUAUCUCUAACCAUCUCUGCAAUUACCAAAGAAGAUGAAGCCACAUACUUCUGUCAAAGUGGAACCGAAUUUUUACAAACGUUUAUUAAAGGAUUCCUCUUAAUUGUAAAUGACUGUAAUCAACAGGAAACUGUUUAUGUGGAACAAAAUCCAGACAAUGCAUCGGC